CAAACCAAAGCUGGCGACCGGCGCACGGGUGAGUAACACGUAUCCAACCUGCCUCAUACUCGGGGAUAGCCUUUCGAAAGAAAGAUUAAUAUCCGAUAGCAUAUAUUUCCCGCAUGGGUUUUAUAUUAAAGAAAUUCGGUAUGAGAUGGGGAUGCGUUCCAUUAGUUUGUUGGGGGGGUAACGGCCCACCAAGGCUACGAUGGAUAGGGGUUCUGAGAGGAAGGUCCCCCACAUUGGAACUGAGACACGGUCCAA
rnacentral:rRNA from 1 species